rnacentral:rRNA from 1 species
GAUGAACGCUAGCUACAGGCUUAACACAUGCAAGUCGAGGGGCAGCGGGAUUGAAGCUUGCUUCAAUUGCCGGCGACCGGCGCACGGGUGAGUAACGCGUAUCCAACCUUCCGUACACUCAGGGAUAGCCUUUCGAAAGAAAGAUUAAUACCUGAUGGUAUGAUGAGAUUGCAUGAUAGCAUCAUUAAAGAUUUAUCGGUGUACGAUGGGGAUGCGUUCCAUUAGGUAGUAGGCGGGGUAACGGCCCACCUAGCCAACGAUGGAUAGGGGUUCUGAGAGGAAGGUCCCCCACAUUGGAACUGAGACACGGUCCAAACUCCUACGGGAGGCAGCAGUGAGGAAUAUUGGUCAAUGGACGAGAGUCUGAACCAGCCAAGUAGCGUGAAGGAUGAAGGUCCUACGGAUUGUAAACUUCUUUAUAAGGGAAUAAACCGUCCACGUGUGGGAGCUUGUAUGUACCUUAUGAAUAGCAUCGGCUAACUCCGUGCCAGCA